UACGAAGGGGGCUAGCGUUGCUCGGAAUCACUGGGCGUAAAGCGCACGUAGGCGGUUUCUUAAGUCAGGGGUGAAAUCCCGGAGCUCAACUCCGGAACUGCCUUUGAUACUGGGGGACUUGAGUUCGGGAGAGGUGAGUGGAACUGCGAGUGUAGAGGUGAAAUUCGUAGAUAUUCGCAAGAACACCAGUGGCGAAGGCGGCUCACUGGCCCGAUACUGACGCUGAGGUGCGAAAGCGUGGGGAGCAAACAGG
rnacentral:rRNA from 1 species